rnacentral:rRNA from 1 species
CCUACGGGAGGCAGCAGUGAGGAAUAUUGGUCAAUGGACGCAAGUCUGAACCAGCCAAGCCGCGUGCAGGAAGAAGGUUCUAAGAAUUGUAAACUGCUUUUGUCAGGGGGCAAACGCAGGUACGCGUACCUGACUGAGAGUAUCUGACGAAAAAGCAUCGGCUAACUCCGUGCCAGCAGCCGCGGUAAUACGGAGGAUGCGAGCGUUAUCCGGAUUUAUUGGGUUUAAAGGGUGCGUAGGCGGUCGGAUAAGUCAGCGGUGAAAUCCCGGGGCUCAACCUCGGGAGUCCCGUUGAACUUGGUCGGCUAGAGAUGGGUAGCGGUAGGCGGAAUGUACGGUGUAGCGGUGAAAUGCUUAGAGAUCGUACAGAACACCGAUUGCGAAGGCAGCUUACCGGGCCCGUUCUGACGCUGAGGCACGAAAGCGUGGGGAGCAAACAGGAUUAGAUACCCGAGUAGUC